rnacentral:lncRNA from 1 species
GAAACGAAACGAAGAAAAUAGAAUAAUAGAAUCAUUUUGAUUUUGUUCGAUGAUACAAACUGGAGCAUAUUAUGAUCUAAGCUGUGUGUUCACUGUUGGCACAUUGAAUGAUUGACAGCAUUGGAUAAAUAAUGCUCUAUUGGAUAAAUACGUAAAGUACAUUGGACAGCUGAGAUUGUGGUGUGGACAGCUGAGAUAGUGUUUUGGACAGCUGAGAUUGUGACUUGAACAGCUGAGAUUGUGGUGUGGACAGCUGAGAUUGGUGUGGACAGCUGAGAUUGUGGUGUUGACAUCUGAAAUUGUGAUUUGGACAGCUGAGAUUGUGCUGUGGACAGCUAAAAUUGUGGUGUGGACUACUGAUAUUGUGGUGUUGACAACAUAUUGUGGUGUGCACAUGUGAUAUUGUGGUGUGAUGGUUUAAAGUAGCAAAGGUAAAGAACGUUUGACAGCUUAGAUUGUGGUGUGGACAGCUGAUAUUGUGGUGUGGACAGCUGAGAUUAUCAUGUGGACUACUUAUAUUGUGGCUUGUAGAGCUGAUAUUGUGGUGUGAUGGUUUAAAGUACUAAAGAUUAAAUAUGAAGAUCAUAGUGUGUUUGAUGUAAGCAUUGACGAGGUGUGUGAGGACCUGAGAAAUGGCACGCUUCAGUUCAUAUAGAUUUAUUCCUUACUACCUUCCUGUCAACUAUAUCUUCCACAGCAUGAUUCAAUCUAGUCUCAAUCAUUGACUCUGGUUACCUCACUAGAUGGUCCGUCCACAGAGUCACAAGCAACAGAUACUAAAACUCGUCAAAGUACAUGUACUUCAGUCUUCCAGAGGAUAUUGUUAACAAUGAUGAUUUGAUGUCAAAAAGAAAAUGUAUUUGAAUAGCUAUAUUUCUCUUGUGUCACUUGGGUGUCAAAGAUCAUUUUAGAGAUUGUCCGGGCUGUAACUUUGCAACGCAUAAACGGGCUUAAAUGUUUGCCUCAGCUAGACAGUGUUGUGUUGAACUCACAGUCCUUUUGACCGCUGGCGGGCUCGACAUGUUUCCUGUGGGCAUUUAGUUUAUAUUGCAUAUACUUCAAAUAGAUACACAUUUUAGAAUACCGGUAGAUAACCAAAUAAGAAAGAAAACAUUAUUUUAUUUGGAAAAUUUUAACUUCAACUUUCACUGUUAUAUUAUUAUAUAAUCACUUAUGAUGAGUAUGAAUGCAAUAUAGACACUGUAGACAAUUAAUCCCGCAUUUUUGUUCAUAUGAACAUACAAUAUCUUGUUAUCUAUUAUUGUCAAUCAUUGGUAUGUAAGAUUUUUGCCAUAGGUUUGAAUAGCUGACAAGCAUGGUAGAAAUUAUUAUAAACCAUUAACGGGCUAAAUGUCUAUAAUUAACUUGUCCAUCUUUCAGUAUGGACAGUAUCAUUAAAUGAAAGGGAUGGCCACCAAAACAUACUGACUGAAUGCAAACAGUGAAGAUCUUGAUCAGGCUAUACGGAUGUGCAGGCUGAUCAUGAUCUACACUGUUCACAAAGGCAGAAUCAAUCGUGUCCAGCAUGAUAAGGGUUAAAUCCGUUGUUUUUACUGCCUUCUUUUUUGGCUCAUUAUUGUACAAGUACAUAUACAGCAUUGCUUUUCUUACCAUGUAAUAAUGCAUAUGAUUGGUUUUCAAAAUAACGAAGCUCUUUCUCCUCUCUCACCAUACUUUAAAUAAGUUCAGUUUUAGAAAGUGUUUUUGGGCAAAUUAUAUUCAAAUCAGUGUAGUCAAUGAAUGUGUGCAGUUUCAGGUGAAUGGCUCAAGCAGUUUUAUAUCAAAUUAUAUAGUUAAUUUUGUCCCCUGUGCAUCCUAGAAAGUGUGACAUUUUAUAUGAAGGGAAGUUUUCAACUGUGUUAUUUUUUCUAACCAAGCAUUAUUGUAACAGCUUUAAUUUUUUAUGUAAGUCAAACUCUGCACAUUUAAAGGAAAAUACUUUUUUUCAUAAACUACAUUUUAUUCUUACCAAUGUUUCAAAUCUUGUGAUGGAACCCCCUUCACAAAUAAAUAUGAAAAAAAUACUAAAUUUAAAUGUUGGUCACUUAAAUUUCAUAACCCUAUUGCUUUUCUUAUGUCCUAAUGUUUUACAAGAUCUUAAUAUUUUCAGCUAUGAAGAUACAAUUAAUAUGAUUUUUUGUUUGAUAAAUCAAUUUAGCAGAACCUUGAUGAAUGUCUAUACACCCCAAAAUGUUCCCUUUGCACCAUUUUAGUUGUUAAGUGUCAGAUAUAAUUUGAGCCGCGCCU